AGGGUUUGAUUCUGGCUCAGAACGAACGCUGGCGGCAGGCCUAAUACAUGCAAGUCGAGCGCGCCCUUCGGGGUGAGCGGCGGACGGGUGAGUAACGCGUGGGAAUAUGCCCUUCUCUAAGGAAUAGCCUCUGGAAACGGAGAGUAAUACCUUAUACGCCCUUCGGGGGAAAGAUUUAUCGGAGAAGGAUUAGCCCGCGUUAGAUUAGGUAGUUGGUGGGGUAAUGGCCUACCAAGCCUACGAUCUAUAGCUGGUUUGAGAGGAUGAUCAGCCACACUGGGACUGAGACACGGCCCAGACUCCUACGGGAGGCAGCAGUAGGGAAUCUUAGACAAUGGGGGCAACCCUGAUCUAGCCAUGCCGCGUGUGUGAUGAAGGCCCUAGGGUCGUAAAGCACUUUCGCCAGAGAUGAUAAUGACAGUAUCUGGUAAAGAAACCCCGGCUAACUCCGUGCCAGCAGCCGCGGUAAUACGGAGGGGGUUAGCGUUGUUCGGAAUUACUGGGCGUAAAGCGCACGUAGGCGGAUUAGUAAGUUAGAGGUGAAAUCCCAGGGCUCAACCCUGGAACUGCCUUUAAUACUGCUAGUCUUGAGUUCGAGAGAGGUAAGUGGAAUUCCGAGUGUAGAGGUGAAAUUCGUAGAUAUUCGGAGGAACACCAGUGGCGAAGGCGGCUUACUGGCUCGAUACUGACGCUGAGGUGCGAAAGUGUGGGGAGCAAACAGGAUUAGAUACCCUGGUAGUCCACACCGUAAACGAUGAAUGCCAGACGUCAGCAAGUAUACUUGUUGGUGUCACACCUAACGGAUUAAGCAUUCCGCCUGGGGAGUACGGUCGCAAGAUUAAAACUCAAAGGAAUUGACGG
rnacentral:rRNA from 1 species